rnacentral:rRNA from 1 species
UAAGAGGUCCCGCCUGCCCUGUGACUAUUUGUUUAACGGCCGCGGUAUUUUGACCGUGCAAAGGUAGCGCAAUCACUUGUCUUUUAAAUGAAGACCCGUAUGAAUGGCAUAACGAGGGCUUAGCUGUCUCCUCUUUCCAGUCAAUGAAGUUGAUCUUCCCGUGCAGAAGCGGGAAUAUAAUCAUAAGACGAGAAGACCCUAUGGAGCUUUAGACACAAAAGCAGCCCACGUUAAACACCCCAAAUAAGGGACUAAACCAAGGGGGCCCUGCCCUAAUGUCUUUGGUUGGGGCGACCGCGGGGAAUUAAAGAACCCCCACGUGGAAUGGGCACACUUUUCCUUCAACUAAGAGCUACAGCUCUAGAAAACAGAAUUUCUGACCAACAAGAUCCGGCAAUGCCGAUCAACGGACCGAGUUACCCUAGGGAUAACAGCGCAAUCCUCUUUUAGAGCCCAUAUCGACAAGGGGGUUUACGACCUCGAUGUUGGAUCAGGACAUCCUAAUGGUGCAGCCGCUAUUAAGGGUUCGUU